GACGAACGCUGGCGGCAUGCCUAACACAUGCAAGUCGAACGAGACCUUCGGGUCUAGUGGCGCACGGGUGCGUAACGCGUGGGAAUCUACCCUUGGGUUCGGAAUAACAGUUAGAAAUGACUGCUAAUACCGGAUGAUGACGUAAGUCCAAAGAUUUAUCGCCCAAGGAUGAGCCCGCGUAAGAUUAGCUUGUUGGUGGGGUAAUGGCCUACCAAGGCGACGAUCUUUAGCUGGUCUGAGAGGAUGAUCAGCCACACCGGGACUGAGACACGGCCCAGACUCCUACGGGAGGCAGCAGUGGGGAAUAUUGGACAAUGGGCGAAAGCCUGAUCCAGCAAUGCCGCGUGAGUGAUGAAGGCCUUAGGGUUGUAAGCUCUUUUACCAGGGAUGAUAAUGACAGUACCUGGAGAAUAAGCUCCGGCUAACUCCGCGCCAGCAGCCGCCGUAA
rnacentral:rRNA from 1 species